UUAAGAACCCCCAUGAAAUUUGGAUCUUCUUUUAUUUCUUUCAUUUUUCUCCUCUUUUAUCAUUUUUAGUUAAAUAACUUUGCCUUUCCUGUUACCUCUUUUUCAUCAUGUUAACCUAUGAGGAAGAAAAUUCAGGCUUCUCGUGCGUCACCACCGUGCCUCCACCAUGCCUUCGCGUGUGUGCCUCCAUUAUGCCUUCACCAUUCUUGUUUGAAGUUCAAGAACAAUUGGUUUAAUCUGUUUUGAGCAAGGUUGUAGAGGAGUUUGACAAGUGAACAAGCCAAGGUGAAAAGGUCCAGUGAAUUUCACCCAGACCGAGAAGAGUAAGGCGUGAAGGAUCCUACAUUUAUGAGGAGUUUAUGCCAACUGGAGAGACAAAUGUUAAGAGUUGUUACU